rnacentral:rRNA from 1 species
AGGAUAAGAAACUAAAUAGGAUUCCCUCAGUAAUGGCGAAUGAACAGGGAUCAGCUCAGCAUGGAAAUUGGGGCCCUCGGCCUUGAAUUGUAGUCUCGAGAUGCAUCGCCAAUGGAGGCGCAGAUGUAAGCCUCUUGGAAAAGAGCAUCAACGAGGGUGAGAGUCCCGUUUGUCAUCUGCAGUCCCCCAUGCACGGCGUGCCUUCUAAGAGUCGCGUUCCUCGGAAUUGGAGCGUCAAUUGGGUGGUAAAUUUCAUCUCAAGCUAAAUAUUGGUUCGAGACCGAUAGCAAACAAGUACCAUGAGGGAAAGGUGAAAAGGACUUUGAAAAGAGAGUUAAAAGUGCCUGAAAUUGCUGAAAGGGAAGCGAAUGGAACCAGUGUUGCUUGGCGAGAUUGUCGUACGCAUUCGCGUGUGGUGGUUCUUGCCUUGUGUGUCAACGCCAGUUCGCGAUCGAGGAAAACUCCAGGGACAUGGUAGCCUACCCCUGGGUGGGUGAAUGUGCCUGGUAGAACUCAUUUGCGGACUGUUUCCUUCGUGUCUGGUUGCAGUGCUGCUUGAUCCUGUGUUGGCGCUUGGGGGUGGGAGCUCGCUCCUCACACCCUGCCCUUCUAAGGUUCUCAGCGCUUCCCUGACACAUAGACGAUGACUAAAUGGUUCUAUUCGACCCGUCUUGAAACACGG